rnacentral:rRNA from 1 species
UACAGAGGUCUCGAGCGUUAGGCGGAAUCACUGGGCUUAAAGCGUGUGUAGGCGGAUCGUUAAGUGCCUUGUGAAAUCCCACGGCUCAACCGUGGAACUGCUUGGCAUACUGGCGGUCUUCGAGCAACCUAGGGGCGAGCGGAACAAAUGGUGGAGCGGUGAAAUGCGUAGAUAUCAUUUGGAACGCCAAUGGUGAAAACAGCUCGCUGGGGGUUUGCUGACGCUGAGACACGAAAGCCAGGGGAGCCAAACGGG